UGGGGAAUAUUGCACAAUGGGGGAAACCCUGAUGCAGCGACGCCGCGUGAACGAAGAAGGUAUUCGUAUCGUAAAGUUCUGUCCUAUGGGAAGAUAAUGACAGUACCAUAGAAGAAAGCUCCGGCUAAAUACGUGCCAGCAGCCGCGGUAAUACGUAUGGAGCGAGCGUUGUCCGGAAUUAUUGGGCGUAAAGGGUACGCAGGCGGUUUAAUAAGUCGAAUGUUAAAGAUCGGGGCUCAACCCCGCAAAGCAUUGGAAACUGAUAAACUUGAGUAGUGGAGAUGAAAGUGGAAUUCCUAGUGUAGUGGUGAAAUACGUAGAUAUUAGGAGGAAUACCAGUAGCGAAGGCGACUUUCUGGACACAAACUGACGCUGUGGUACGAAAGCGUGGGGAGCAAACAGG
rnacentral:rRNA from 1 species